UACAUUUAACUGCCUGUUCGGCUGUAUUUAUUUCAAAUAAACAAUUUUCUUGAGAAAAUUAAUCCUCGAUCGCAUAGUAGCCGCCAUGUUUGUUUACCAAGGUCUCUCAGCCAAUCAGGAGAUCGACGAAUAUUGUAUUUUUGUAAUGACAUAUUUGAUUGGCUAUAAGACCAAGGGCAAAUUGUUUGAAGUAUUUCUAUUGGUUGUCAAAGCGGUCGGGUUUAUUUGGCGGCAUUUUUAAAGAUUGAGAGAAGGAAGAUGUUUGUGACUGUUUUGCGACAGUUUUAGUCUGUAUAUAUCACGUUGACCAAAAGAUAAUCGUAGAGAAAUUGGAGCCGAGAAAUCUUUUGCCUUUUGUCCAGAAGUAAAACAUGCCUGAUGUCGGAAAAGAAGUCAAGAGAAAAUGUUUAGUGUGGAAAAAUUAACGACCAGGAACAACUCGGGAUCCCGAUCGAAUGCACAGAAGUGUCGCACAUAUAUGAGCCAAGAUUUGGCUAAUUAAAUGAUGCAUCAGAAUUGGCAGCAACAGAGCUUAGAAGACAGAGCUUAGAAGACAUCUGUCAGAAGCUUAUGGCUCUCCACACAGACUACAUGACUGUUGCAGCAAUAAAAGUUGAAAACAAGAACUUGAGUUCAGCUGCCCAACUUCAAAUUUAGAUGAGCCAGCUUUGCCAGCUGUAGUUCAGGACUUUAUCAUCUAGUAUAACAUAAGGCGGAUUCACAAAAAAAUCAUCAAGGAGAAAUUUGGUACUGGAGAAUCAUUUGUUCAGUUUCGUCUCAGGGACUUGUUGAACAUGUUGAAACCCUCGAGGAUGGGGCCAAGUGAAAACUAAGUAAAAAUUGACAUUUGGAAAUCAAUUGAAUUGUGAAUUGUGAUUAACAAGUGCAAAAUAAAAUUUAUUGUUUUACA